rnacentral:rRNA from 1 species
AACGAACGCUGGCGGCAGGCCUAACACAUGCAAGUCGAGCGAAGCCUUCGGGCUUAGCGGCGGACGGGUGAGUAACGCGUGGGAACGUGCCCUUUGGUACGGAAUAGCCCCGGGAAACUGGGAGUAAUACCGUAUGUGGUCGAGAGACGAAAGAUUUAUCGCCAAAGGAUCGGCCCGCGUUGGAUUAGGUAGUUGGUGGGGUAAUGGCCUACCAAGCCGACGAUCCAUAGCUGGUUUGAGAGGCUGAUCAGCCACACUGGGACUGAGACACGGCCCAGACACCUACGGGAGGCAGCAGUGGGGAAUCUUAGACAAUGGGGGAAACCCUGAUCUAGCCAUGCCGCGUGAUCGAUGAAGGCCUUAGGGUUGUAAAGAUCUUUCAGUGGGGAAGAUAAUGACUGUACCCACAGAAGAAGCCCCGGCUAACUCCGUGCCAGCCGCCGCCGUAAGAC